GAUGAACGCUGGCGGCGUGCCUAACACAUGCAAGUCGAACGGAGACGCCUUGGAAAUCUCUUCGGAGAUGGAAUCCUCGACUUAGUUGCCGACGGGGGAGUAACCCGUGAGCAAUCUGCCAUUAAGAGGGGGAUAAGGGUCGGACACGGCAGCUAAUACUGCAUAAAGGAUUAAAUUCGCAUGUUUUGGAUGUCAAGGGAGCAAUCCGCUUUUAGAUGAGCUCGCGUCUGAUUAUCUAGUGGGGGGGGUAAGGGCACACCAAGGCGGCGGGCGGUAGCCGGAGUGAGGGGGAGAACGGCCACAGUGAGUGUGAGACGCGGCAGAGACUCAUACGAGAGGCAGCAGUGGAGAAUAGUACACAAUGGGGGAGCCCGUGACACAGCAGCGGCGCGUGAUAUAAGAGGGCCUGCGGGGUGUAAAGAUCUUUCAUGAGAGACGGAGCGAGUGACGGUAACUGAAGAAGAAGCACCGGCUAACUACGUG
rnacentral:rRNA from 1 species